UCCGUGUUUACAUGGAUGGAUUUUUGGCCUUAGAGCUGGGUAAGACAUGCCUCAUUGGUUGAAGUUAAACAUAAAGUAAAAAGCAUCACAUUGCAAGGUGGUGGGUGACACGCUGAUACCCUGCCUGUAGCCCAGGUCUGCCCAACUCACUACUACUACUGAUCUACCACGCUGAUACCCUGCCUGUAGCCCAGGUCUGCCCAACUCACUACUACUACUGAUCUUCCUGUAGCCCAGGUCUGCCCAACUCACUACUACUACUGAUCUACCACGCUGAUACCCUGCCUGUAGCCCAGGUCUGCCCAACUCACUACUACUACUGAUCUACCACGCUGAUACCCUGCCUACCAUUGACUGUAGCCCAGGUAAGUCCAACCCUCUUCCUGGAGAUCUACUGUCC